UUGAGCGCGAGGGCAGGGGGUUGGGUGACGGAAGGGGAACCGGACUUGGAGGAGAGGCACCCAGGGUCUGACCGGUCAAACGCUGCUGGACCCGGAACCCCAAGGUGGAGUUUCAGAUCUGAUCCCACCAGGGGCUCUUUUUAAGGGCGUCUACACCGCAGGGUCCAGGAGGAGCAGCGGUCGGGAGGACUUGAGGGGGCACAGAUUUAUUGCCCGCGUCCAAAGUGGUGCUUUUGAUCCGAAAUGAAUAGAUUCUUUCUGGUGGGACUGCUCGGCAUCAGGGGCCGAAAGGAAUCGACUCAGGAAUCUAGAGAGACUCUGCCCCCUGGAAGAAACGUCUACACACCCCCCUUACUACACUAGCCGAACUCCCUAAAAACCUAGGUAGGGAAAGAGAAUUCUCCCGGGUUCACAUCUGUUCCCUAAACUAGAGUGCAAAGAAGGGAGCCUUCUGAACUGCGGGACACGUCUGUGCAGGAAAGACGUGUGCCCGCGAGCGAGCGGCCUGUACAUUCAACGAGUGCGGAGCGCCGCCCAGGUCCAGAGACGGUGGCAAAGCCAAGACUGGGGACUGCCGAGGAGUCGGAGUCUCAGAGACAGUGAGACAAGGCUCUUAGUAACGCUGGUGCACAGACCACCGGGGAGCGAGCUCAAAAUGUGCAGGAAUGCGUGCCUGUGCGCGCGGGACAUCCCGGGAACCGGGAGAGGAGGAAGCCCCUGCAGGCACACGGUCCCUAGGACGGGCGGUCAGAUGCCGGCUGCAGAAUCUGGGGAGUGGAAGCGACCCGAAGCCGCCAGGAGCUUUACACCCAACUUUUGUCGCCGAGGACAGAGCCUGGCUCUUGCCCGGAGAUCUGCAGAGCAGUCCUUUGGUGGGGGCCAGCGAGGAUAGCUGAGGAGGAGGAGGAGGAACACACCGUGAGGGUGGGACCCAGGACCCUCAAGCUGCAGGAAAAGAAGUGAGGGCUGGGGAAGAGUUCUGAGCGUUUUGACAGAGAUGAAUAAAAUGCAAAUGAUAUUCAAA